rnacentral:tRNA from 1 species
GCCUAGUUAGCUUAGUUGGUAGCGCGACUGCCUUGUAAGCGCUAGGCCGCGGGUUCGAAUCCCGCCCGGGGUG